GGAGAAGUACCCAAGUGGCUGAAGGGUCCGCACUCGAAAUGCGGUAGGUCGGGCGACCGGCGCAUGGGUUCAAAUCCCAUCUUCUCCG
rnacentral:tRNA from 1 species